UACGGAGGGAGCUAGCGUUGUUCGGAAUUACUGGGCGUAAAGCGCACGUAGGCGGCGAUUCAAGUCAGAGGUGAAAGCCCGGGGCUCAACUCCGGAACUGCCUUUGAAACUAGAUUGCUAGAAUCUUGGAGAGGCGAGUGGAAUUCGACGUGUAGAGGUGAAAUUCGUAGAUAUUCGGAAGAACACCAGUGGCGAAGGCGACUCGCUGGACAAGUAUUGACGCUGAGGUGCGAAAGCGUGGGGAGCAAACAGGG
rnacentral:rRNA from 1 species